rnacentral:tRNA from 1 species
GGAGGGGUGGCCGAGUGGUUAAUGGCAGCAGACUGUAAAUCUGCCGGCGACUGCCUACGCAGGUUCGAAUCCUGCCCCCUCCA